rnacentral:rRNA from 1 species
AGACCCGAAACCCGGUGAUCUAGCCAUGGGCAGGUUGAAGGUUGGGUAACACUAACUGGAGGACCGAACCGACUAAUGUUGAAAAAUUAGCGGAUGACCUGUGGCUGGGGGUGAAAGGCCAAUCAAACCGGGAGAUAGCUGGUUCUCCCCGAAAGCUAUUUAGGUAGCGCCUCGUGAAUUCAUCUCCGGGGGUAGAGCACUGUUUCGGCUAGGGGGCCAUCCCGGCUUACCAACCCGAUGCAAACUGCGAAUACCGGAGAAUGUUAUCACGGGAGACACACGGCGGGUGCUAACGUCCGUCGUGAAGAGGGAAACAACCCAGACCGCCAGCUAAGGUCCCAAAGUCAUGGUUAAGUGGGAAACGAUGUGGGAAGGCCCAGACAGCCAGGAUGUUGGCUUAGAAGCAGCCAUCAUUUAAAGAAAGCGUAAUAGCUCACUGGUCGAGUCGGCCUGCGCGGAAGAUGUAACGGGGCUAAACCAUGCACCGAAGCUGCGGCAGCGAACGUAUCACUUAAAGCGAUUCAGCGGAUGACGAUUGACGGAGCGAAGCGACGUCAAAGCGUAUACAAAGUCGAGUCGGUUUAAGGAUACGUUCGUUGGGUAGGGGAGCGUUCUGUAAGCCUGCGAAGGUGGCCUGUGAGGGUUGCUGGAGGUAUCAGAAGUGCGAAUGCUGACAUAAGUAACGAUAAAGCGGGUGAAAAGCCCGCUCGCCGGAAGACCAAGGGUUCCUGUCCAACGUUAAUCGGGGCAGGGUGAGUCGACCCCUAAGGCGAGGCCGAAAGGCGUAGUCGAUGGGAAACGGGUUAAUAUUCCCGUACUUGGUGUUACUGCGAAGGGGGGACGGAGAAGGCUAUGUUGGCC